GAAAAUGGACAUGUGUCAACUCCACAACCCGCUUGUGGAGUCCAAAAUUUAUACUGCCGGUGUAUCAAAUAAUAACCCAUAUAUUAAUUAAUAAAGAAAGGGUAAUUAUUUGGUACAUUGACAGUGUAAAAUUUAGACUCCACAAGUGAGGUGAGGAGUUGACACAUCUAUUUUC
rnacentral:pre_miRNA from 1 species